rnacentral:rRNA from 1 species
UUCUGGAAGGAUUGACAGAUUGAGAGCUCUUUCUUGAUUCGCUGGAUGGAGGUGCAUGUCCAUUCUUAGUUGGUGGAGCGAUUUGUCUGUUUAACUCCGAUGACGAACGAGACUCUAGACUAUUAAAUAGGCGCGUGGUCCUCUGCACCUUGCACCCUUCUUAGGGGUACAGGGGGGAUCUGUAACCCCAACAGGGAUACGUUCCU